AUACUGUAAUAUUAUCUCACACACACACACACACACACACACACACACACACACACACACACACACACACACACACACACACACACACACACACACACACACACACACACACGUAUUGGAAGACUGUGUAAUGGGCUUCAUGCAGCAUUGUUUAUUUAUACUAGCAGGGAGCCAGACAUAUCUAGGUCUUGUCUUCUCAUUGUCUUUUCCUCAUUCCAAAGAUCGGUGACGAAUCUAGUGCUCUCCCAUACCGCCUCUCUCCUCUCCUCCUCUCUCCAACCACGAGAGCUAAGAUCAACUGAACAAGGUCAGGAGAAAGAGAGGGCGGAGGUACGGCGGUGUGUGACGUGUGUACACACACACACACACACACACACACACACACACACACACACACACACACACACACACACACACACACACACACACACACACACACACACACACACACACACACACACACACACACACGUGUGCAUGUACCUGUGUUUCACCGGCUUAAAUGGGAAGAGCGCUAAAAAAGGAAAAGUAUAGAUACCCAGGUGUUGUUAAUGGGUCAGAUAAGGACAGGAACAGGGAACUACACACAAAAAGACAAUAAACAGAACACACGGUUCUCUCCGGACAUCUUUAUAUAAGGACGACUUCGGCAUUCAGGUCUUCCGAUGACGACAGAGGCAGUGUUGUCGCCUUCGGUACAAAACAAACGCGAUCUAUCCCAAACCAAUUCGACUGCUGAAGAAGUCAUUAAUGUCUCUUCUAUGUUGAAUUCCCCCCUGCUAUCUCUGUUCCCCUCCCCUACCGUAGUAAACACAGAAAGGGUAGCGAGCUAGAGAUGGAGCAUAGUGAACAUUAAUAGAAUAGGACUUAAAAUAAAUAAAUUACGAAUACGGCAUUCUGCAUUCCCUGACGAGCAACAACUGUGACGACGAGUCUGACGCAAGAAUAACGGCCGAAACAGGACUGCAGAUGGUACCCCAGCAUCCAUAUUAACAUGCCUGUUUACACGGUCCACCUAGAACCUUUUCCUCUGAGACUUUGGACUCUGACAACAUGGCAACCACUGAGUGCUAAUGUAUGGGGGAGGGGGGAGAGCGGGGGGUAAAGAAAGGCAGAUGGAGACGGGGAGAGAGGGACAGAUGAAUAAAACGGUAGCGGAGGAAUAGAAAGUAUGUCAAACAAGUACAGGAGACCUCGAAGAUGACGAGACAUUUCCAAGGACGCAGAUACCGAGAGCUUAACAGAGCACAAGUAAGCCUGGAGAUAAUAGGUUAUGGAUGUCACAGGAAAAAGAAAAAAAAGGCAUUUUAUUCAAAAUCGCUCGUUCUCCGGGGUCGAUAGUCGGCCCCUGGGUUCCCCAGCGCUGCCUUCCGACGAGUCUCGAUGGCUGCUCAGUACGGGACUCAUCUCAAUGUGGCCGGGGGGGGGGUUGCUGUAGAAGGCAUGCGAGGUGGAGGAGAGGGCGCGCAGCGGUGGUGGUGGGGUUCAGUGGUUGGCAGAGGUAGGACAGGAGUCUCGGUGGUGUGGCGACCCGACUCUUGCUGUGUGUCAAAGGCCUUCCAGAGGCUGCAGAACAACCACAAAGUGGUGAAAUGAAAGAAAAGAAGUAUCAGGUCAUCUGUUUUUUUUUACUUUGAAUCUAUGUUCAAACAUGAGAAAUGGUGCUCGCUACCUGAGCAACACUAACUCGUUGCAAGCAGGGCAGCUCAUGUAUAAUGAACAGACUUGUGGGUUAUGGAUAUAGGAGUGGAAAGGAAGCAAAACGAUCACAGUGUGGAGAGAUGGGGCAGAGGAGGCUGUUAGGGUUAGUGUGUGUGUGUGUGUGUGUGUGUGUGUGUGUGUGUGUGUGUGUGUGUGUAAAACCGCGGUGCACAUUUGUCGUCAGUCACCGCGCUCAUGUUUAAAUCAUGCAAAGCAAACCCUGAAGAAGGGGGAAAAACACACCACUUCCCUCUUUUAAAAAGUAUGCAGGGACAAAGUGGAGCAAGCAAGCUCCUGGUUGACAUCAAAAUGUUCCCUCUCACCCCCCUCCCCUCCCCAUAUCCGCACCCACACACAGAGAAAUGCUGCAUAUGCACACUCUCCCACUGCAAAUAAAGCAGGGCAAAACAAAAUGACUUUAUCAAUUCAUUCAACCUUCUGCACAACUCCCUCCCCUCCCACACUCCCUCCCUCCCUCCCUCCCAG
ensembl:lncRNA